rnacentral:rRNA from 1 species
GUAGCAAGGUUAACCGUAUAGGGGAGCCGCAGGGAAACCGAGUCUUAACUGGGCGUUAAGUUGCAGGGUAUAGACCCGAAACCCGGUGAUCUAGCCAUGGGCAGGUUGAAGGUUGGGUAACACUAACUGGAGGACCGAACCGACUAAUGUUGAAAAAUUAGCGGAUGACUUGUGGCUGGGGGUGAAAGGCCAAUCAAACCGGGAGAUAGCUGGUUCUCCCCGAAAGCUAUUUAGGUAGCGCCUCGUGAAUUCAUCUUCGGGGGUAGAGCACUGUUUCGGCUAGGGGG